UCCAGAGGGUGCGAGCGUUGUCCGGAAUCACUGGGCGUAAAGGGCGCGUAGGUGGCACGACAAGUCAGUGGUGAAAGCUCGACGCUCAACGUCGAGUCGGCCACUGAUGCUGUUGGGCUGGAGCACUGUAGAGGCAGAUGGAAUUCCGGGUGUAGCGGUGGAAUGCGUAGAGAUCCGGAAGAACACCGGUGGCGAAGGCGGUCUGCUGGGCAGUUGCUGACACUGAGGCGCGACAGCGUGGGGAGCAAACAGG
rnacentral:rRNA from 1 species